GCCAUUCAUCAGACGAGAAACAUCACUGCAACAGCAACAGCGACGAGGAACGUCUUCAUGACGAGUUCUCUGGAUCCCUUGAGGUUGGACUUCUUGCAUUGUCACACUCUUUUCAACAUUCUUUUAUUUUCAGGACCUUGUCGGCAACUUUGACGAAAAAAUUGCGGCAUGCCUGAAGGACCACGAGGUGACGACAGCGGAUAUUGCACCUGUGCAGAUACGUACUCAAGAGGAAGUUAUGAAUGAAAGCCAGUGAGUUUUUUGGAUUUUAUUUGUGGAUUUAAAAAAAUUGGUUGAAAAAUUAAAAUUUGGGAUCUAAAAUUAUUUUGUUAAAGUUCCAUAAAUCGUAAAAAUUCAUAAUUCUGUUCAGAAUAGCACCAAAAAAUUGUAGUUAAAUCCAAUUUUUUAAAUUAAAAAGUAAACUAAUUUAUAGCCUUUUUUCAUAAAAAUUAGUGAAAAAUGGAGCAAUUUUGAAAUAAUUUCUACUUUGGAACGAAUUAAAAAAAACUAGCCCGAAAAAAAGCCAUGUGUCGAUUUACGCAGUUCGUGUAAUCCGCAACUAGGACAAUUUUACAGUUUUUGGAUAAUAUUCUUAGUUUUUGACUAUUUUCGCAAGUUCUUUUUGUAUUUAUCAUUCAAAUUGUUAAUUUUCUCGCUUUCCAACUUCAAAUGACAAUUUUCGUAGCAAAGGUCUCGCCCCGCGGAUAAGUAAUUACUGUCACUUCUGUCAAUCGUCAGGUUUUUUUAAAAUUCUUAUUUAGAUUAAAAUUCACUUUUUUUCAACUCAAGCUACAGUAAUUCGUUAUCCGCGUGGCGAGUGAGGUAUAACAAAAAAUCUCCAUAGUUGAAGUAAAUUUAGAUCCUUUUCCCGAAAACGCUAUAAAUCAGAAACGGCUCGAAAAUUUGAAUUCAAAAGUUUUUUCGAAACAGCAGUAAAACCCUCCUCGUCGUGGACUUCACGAGCUGCGUAAAUCGACACAUAAAGUUAUAGUCAUUAUUACAUAGAGUGCCUAUAAACACAGAAAACAUAUUAUUUUCUUCUAAAAAUAAGAAAAAUGGCCAAAACUCUCAACUAUUUUUUUAAGAAUUCAAAAAAAUUCGAAAUAUAGUGAAAACGAGCAUUUUGGAUUUUUUUUUAAAAAUUAGUAGUAAAACAUAAAAAAUUUGUUUUUGAGUUUUUCCAAAAAUUAAGAAAUUUCUAAAAUUGCAGAACAUGGUGGACAUUAACCGGAAACUUUGGAAACAUUCAACCUCUCGACUUUGGAACCUCUUCGAUAUGUAAAAAGAUGGCCGCAGCUCUGGACAGUGAUUCAUUGGUGAGCAGAGGGUCCCCGGAUCUUUUUGUUAUUCACUUUGUCUUCCUUUUCUGUUUUUACUAUUGCCUUCUUCCACCAUCAACGUUCUUCUUGUUUUUCCAUCUAUCUUUUCCACUAUGCUCAUCUCUCACGCUCAUCGUCUCCAGCUCCUUCCACUUGAGCAUCAACACUUCUUCUUCUUCUUCUUUCUCUCUGUUCUCUACAAUCGAUUUAUAGCACUCACCGGAGGAGUCAGAGAGACAGAGAGAAUAAGAAGAAGGCGUCGAGAGCCGAUGCUCAGAAAACUCUUACUAUGUGGAGAGCGGUGUCCAUUAAAUACCACCCCUUCUUCUUUUUUUUUGGGCAGUUUUCAAUUUCCCGGUUGUCAUUAUUUGAAAUAUGCGACUACCGUAAUCAUUUUCUGAAAGAUCACGGGAUUCCAAUUUCCAUCAUGUUUGGAAUGCGGAAUUGACUUAUUUCAGAGUUUUUAAGUUUUAAAUUAAAAAAUUUUAAUUUUUUACAUUCAUAUUUUGGGGAAAAAAAUUAACAAACCAAUUUGUUUAAAGAAAAUGUUUGUUGUUUUCUUCAGAAGCAAAAGCGUCAUCGAAACAGUUUCAAUGUGGCUGACGAGAAUAAACUUUAAAAAAAUUUACUAUUAAAAAUGGGAAAAAUUUUAAGCUAUUCUCCGAAAAUCCUACUUUUUUUUCGAAUUAUCAAAAAACCCAAGUGUACUCCCCGAGGAAAGCUGUUAUAAUCUUGGAUAGUAUUCUGGGGUUUGAACAUUUUUUCGCUAUUUAUUUUUGUAUUUGGCAAUUAAAUCACCAAUUUAUCUUUUAUUUAUAAUUUUUCCACUGAAAAUUCAGGAACUUACCGCUGAAAACUAGUUAAAACGAGAUUUUGUUACUUUUCAAUGGUGAAUGCAUUUUUUCAGAUUUUUUAUCUGAAAACUGUUUUUAUAAAAUAGAUUGGCAGGUUGAACAACGGAAAUGCUUCAGAAUGCCAUUUUUAAGUCAAAAACUUGAAAAGCCUUCUCCUCGCGGAAUACACUAAUUUUUUUAUGAAAUCAUUUUUCUCUUAACUCUUACAAAUUAUAAAAAAAAACAAGUUUACUUUCUAGCCCUGUUUUUUUUUUUGAAAAUCUGAAAAAAGUCAAAACCUAGACAUUCCUCUAGUUGACCUUUGUUUGUCUUCCGGUUCACUGAUUUCACUGGAUUCCCUGCUCUUUCCCUAAAUUUUCCCAUUUGCAAAUAAAUUCUCGUUUGUACUUUUUUCCAGAAAGACGACGCAUCUACACGCCGAAGUAUGACAAAUUCCGAUGAUGAGGAUCUUUUACGACAACAAAUGGAUGUUCAUCAAAUGAUUGGACAUCAUCAUGGAUCUACGGAUACUGGUGGUGAAACACCUCCACAGACUGCUGAUCAAGUUAUCGAAGAAAUUGAUGAAAUGUUACAGGUCAUUAUAUUUUUAAAGUCUCACUUUUAGAAAAAAUGUUUUAAAAAAAGACUUUGGAAAUAGGUGACUUUAGCAGAAAAGGGAGAACUUUGAACUAAAAAAAUAGUCAAUCUGAAAUUACUUUCAGUGCAAUUUUUGCACUAGCGGCCCGUGAAAUUGCUUCAAAAAUUGAUUUUUGCAAACUUUUAAUGAUUUUUAGGGUGAUUGGAGGUAGACAAACAUUUUGAAAUCUUUUUGGAUUUUUUUUUUCAAAAAUCGUUUCCUUUAAAAAGCUUCCAAAUUGUUUGUCUACUUCUAAUCACCCUAAACUCAUCAAAGUUUGCACUAAUCUAUAUUUGGAGCAAUUUCACGGGCCACUAGUGAAAAAAUGCACUGAAAGUAAUUUCAGAUCAUUAUUUUUCUAGUUAAAGGUGCUCCUCUGCCGCAAAUUUUUUUGUAGUCUCCUAUUUUGAAUAAGAUAAGUUUCAUUUAAAUGUCUAAAAGUGUUUUACUUUCUGUCAAAUUUCGAAAAUCUAUUCAUUUAUUUGAAACGAGAAGCAGAAAAAACACAAAAACAAAUACCCCCUUGUUAAGCCCUUAACACCACAAGCGAUUACAUGUAUUAUUUCUCGUUUUUAGUCAUGCGAUUUCACUGGCUCAAUGAUGACGGAUCGAACGAUGGAAUCAGUUGAUUCAAUGUAUUCUUCAAUGCGUUCACCAUUUCCAUCAUCAAUUCAAUCAUCAGAUGCUGAUAUUAAACUUCGAAGUGCACAGGCCCUUGUCAGCAAUCCGGAUA
rnacentral:sRNA from 1 species